GAUGAAGAACGCAGUGAAAUGCGAUAAGUAAUGUGAAUUGCAGAAUUCAGUGAAUCAUCGAAUCUUUGAACGCACAUUGCGCCCGCCAGCAUUCUGGCGGGCAUGCCUGUUCGAGCGUCAUUUCAACCCUCGACCUCCCCUUGGGGAAGUCGGCGUUGGGGACCGGCAGCAUACCGCCGGCCCCGAAAUGGAGUGGCGGCCCGUCCGCGGCGACCUCUGCGUAGUAAUCCAACCUCGCACCGGAACCCCGACGUGGCCACGCCGUAAAACCCCCAACUUUCUGAACGUUGACCUCGGAUCAGGUAGGAAUACCCGCUGAACUUAAGCAUAUCAAUAAGCGGAGGA
rnacentral:misc_RNA from 1 species